GCAAUACAAUGGCGGCGACCGGCGAAAGGGUGAGUAACGCGUGAGCAACAUGCCCGGUAGAGGAGGAUAGUCGAUGGAAACGUCGUGUAAUACUCCGUAACAACAGACCCCGCAUGAGGUUUGUUUAAUAGAUUAAUCGCUAUCGGAUUGGCUCGCGUCCCAUUAGGCAGUUGGCGGGGUAACGGCCCACCAAACCGACGAUGGGUAGGGGUUCUGAGAGGAAGGUCCCCCACAUUGGAACUGAGACACGGUCCAGACUCCUACGGGAGGCAGCAGUGAGGAAUAUUGGUCAAUGGCCGAGAGGCUGAACCAGCCAUGCCGCGUGCGGGAGGACGGCCCUAUGGGUUGUAAACCGCUUUUGUUGGGGGGCAAUAAGGCGUACGUGUACGCCGAUGAGAGUACCCAGCGAAUAAGCAUCGGCUAACUCCGUGCCAGCAGCCGCGGUAAUACGGAGGAUGCAAGCGUUAUCCGGAUUUAUUGGGUUUAAAGGGUGCGUAGGCGGAGCUUUAAGCGUGAGGUGAAAUGCCCGGGCUCAACCUGGGAACUGCCUCGCGAACUGGAGUUCUGGAAUGCCCCUGCCG
rnacentral:rRNA from 1 species